GUUCCGACAUGGCCGACGAGCGGCUCAUAUAACCCUGACUCCUUGACACGCUCGAGAGGUAGCAUUUUACCUGAAUAGCCACCGAUAUUAGAUUUGACUAUAGACACAAUACAAUUUAGGGUAUCCUGUUCCUUGGCGAGGUCUCGAUUUUUCAAUGGAUCCGGGAGCGACUGGUACGGGGGACACUUACUUCGGCGCCAGAUCGGAAUAUCUAGAGUCGUGGCGAGACGUGCUCUGAUGGGCGUCGGACAUCCUCUCCCUCUCGCUGUAGCCGAUAGCAGGACCGUCGUAGCUUUCCACGUACGCAGACGGGUGGUGCCUGUUGUGCGACUCGUACUUCUUGUCCUGAACACUGCAAUCAAAAGGCAGCUCUUAGUCGGAUUGCACCGGCGGCCCCGCCUGGCCACUCGUCAUGCGAGUUAGAGAAAUCAGUAUACUGUUUUCUAGAAGCUUGUCUCUGCGUGUUACGUGUGUCGUUAGUGUCCUAGCUUGAUCAAAGAACACGCCGUCAAUGCUGUUUCGCGCGUGUAAGGAAGAAAAAAAAAAGGUUUAGAAGCCGUACUCUUUAUUCGUUGCUAGUUAGAAGCGUUCCGGAGGAUGCUAGACGAGCUGCUAAACCUUCGAAGCUGUCGACACCUUCUGAUCGCCGAACGCAUCACGUGAUAACAUCGUAAUCGACUGCGAAUCGUGGUAAUCGAACAAGAAAUUUCGAGAAGGUGUCAAUAGCGAUGAUUAGAUAGCGGAGGAGUAUCAACGGAUUACAGAGGUAUCGAAGGAUGUUGCAUGCCAGGAAUGAACAUGCCAACGGUUCAGUUAACGAGAGUUCGCUACUGGACAUGCUACUGGGUUUUACCAAGUACCAAACAGUAUGUCUGUAGUCGAGACACAGGCAGCGUUGGGUAGAGUGUAGCGAAGAUACUAUACUGUGUUCGCAGCGUUAGGAAUGUAUACAUGCGACACGUACAACAAACAGAAUUACACCAUGCGAGCAAGUUUGGCUGUUGUAGUUGUAUACUUACUGAGCGAGGGGUAUGUUAUCCCUGUCUGCGUACGCGUCAUACAAAUAUUCACUGGAACGGAGCGUGUUAGCGGUUAGAUUCCAACAACCAUUCCACACAUUAGACAGCUACUUUUAACUUAAUAUAAACUACUGCGGGACGACCGGCAAUCCGAUUGUCUUUGGUGUCUCUGACUUGAUCGUAACCGUUGUUUAAUCUCGUUCGAACUGCUAGGCGUUGAAGAGUCAUUUGAUUAAUUUAGUAAUUCUCGCGUUGAAAUACUGUGUGAGCUUUGAAUCAGAUAGUAGAAAUAGAUGACAAAUAUCAGAACCGAGAGACAAUCGAACUGCCUGCCGAGAUGAGUAUAUAUUGCUUUACGCUUGGUUCUCUCUGAUAAACUGUACGUUCAGGAAAAGAAGAAGACGCGUACAAUCGGCAUGAAAAGAAAGGUAAAUACACGGGUCGUCGUUUGCCACGUGACUGCUUAAAGAGAUUUCGCCGCUGCAACUUUGGGACUCGCUCUAAUAAGAUAGCGGAAUGGAUCAUGCUUUGACUAGAAAAUGAAAAGAUAUUACGAAGCUUCGAAUGAGUGCAUGCUACGGGUAUAUGGAAGCUCGAUUAACUACCAAGAGAGGUCGAGAUAGAAGACUGAACAGUUUCUACAGAAAGGGUGCUCGGUAUCUGCUGGCAAGAAAUUAGCGGAGAAAUCAUAGAAGCGAUUGUUUCAAUGUAAUGAGUUUUUGUUCUUAGUUUUCCUCGGUGAUAUCAAUGCGCCAAUUUGAUCCCGAUUCUUCUUUUUAUAUAUUUCUAACUUCACGACCAAGGGGACAUAUUGGUUCUUUUUUUUUCUUUCUCAGAAUCCGCAUGCAUUAAGUAUACUUAAAUUACGCCUUGGGAACAUCUAGCGACACUUGGUAUAUCGGUCGAGGAUUAAGUGACGCGGCAAGUAAAAGAAACUUACGCUUCGACUAGGGGCCCCGGGUAUGGGUCCGAUUUCUGGUACAGCGUGCUCAGUUUCACGCACAACACUAUGGUCGGAAUGAACAGGAUCAAACACCAGCCGACGCUCGCCCAGAAACCGUUCUACGCGUGUCCCGGAAACACAAAGAUCAUCCAAAUAAUUUCCAACCGGUGAACAAUCGCUGAAAGUUAACCCUUUGCACUCGAGAG